rnacentral:rRNA from 1 species
GCAUAUCAAUAAGCGGAGGAAAAGAAACCAACAGGGAUUGCCUUAGUAACGGCGAGUGAAGCGGCAAAAGCUUCAAAUUUGAAAUCUGGCUUCCUUUAGGGGUCCGAGUUGUAAUUUGGAGAGGACACUUCGGGUGCGGCCACGGCUUAAGUCCCUUGGAACAGGGCGUCAUAGAGGGUGAGAAUCCCGUCUUGAGCUGCUGGACCGCGCCCAUGCGAAGUUCCUUCGACGAGUCGAGUUGUUUGGGAAUGCAGCUCUAAGUGGGUGGUAAAUUUCAUCUAAAGCUAAAUAUUGGCCGGAGACCGAUAGCGCACAAGUAGAGUGAUCGAAAGGUUAAAAGCACCUUGAAAAGGGAGUUAAAUAGCACGUGAAAUUGUUGAAAGGGAAGCGCUUGCAACCAGACUCGGUCGUGGGGGCUCAACGAGCAUGCUUGUUCGUGUACUCCCUUAUGCUCGGGCCAGCAUCAGUUUCGGCGGUUGGUUAAAGGCCCCUGGAAUGUAUCAUCCUCCGGGAUGACUUAUAGCCAGGGGUGCAAUGCAGCCAGCCGGGACUGAGGAACGCGCUUCGGCACGGAUGCUGGCAUAAUGGUUGUAAGCGGCCCGUCUUGAAACACGGACCAAGGAGUCUAACAUCCACGCGAGUGUUCGGGUGUUAAACCCGUGCGCGCAGUGAAAGCGAACGGAGGUGGGAGCCCUUUAGGGUGCACCAUCGACCGAUCCUGAAGUCUUCGGAUGGAUUUGAGUAAGAGCGUGGCUGUUGGGACCCGAAAGAUGGUGAACUAUGCCUGAAUAGGGUGAAGCCAGAGGAAACUCUGGUGGAGGCUCGCAGCGGUUCUGACGUGCAAAUCGAUCGUCGAAUUUGGGUAUAGGGGCGAAAGACUAAUCGAACCAUCUGGUAGCUGGUUCCUGCCGA